rnacentral:rRNA from 1 species
UACGGGGGGAGCAAGCGUUGUUCGGAUUUAUUGGGCGUAAAGAGCUCGUAGGCGGCUUGUUGCGUCGUCCGUGAAAACCUGUGGCUCAACUACAGGCUUGCGGUCGAUACGGGCGGGCUGGAGUUCGGUAGGGGAGACUGGAAUUCCUGGUGUAGCGGUGAAAUGCGCAGAUAUCAGGAGGAACACCGGUGGCGAAGGCGGGUCUCUGGGCCGAUACUGACGCUGAGGAGCGAAAGCGUGGGGAGCGAACAGG